AAACGUAUAUGAGUACUAACCUAAUUACCUAAGCUAAUAAUUUAAUUUUCUUAUAUAAAACCUUAUAUCUUCUAAGUUUCUAUUACUAUAUAACUUACUAUACUCGCGUGUCAAUCUGUGGGACUGUGGGUUGGGUGCAACGGUGCAGGAGACAUUUUUCGAGGGACUAGUUCGACUCGACUCAGGCAUUCAGCCAGCUUCCUCCAUCUUUGUUCUUUACUACAGGUUAAACCCUUUAAACCCUAACCCCCCAAAAUUAAAAAAAGAAAAAAAAAUUAAAGACAAGGAGAGAAUUAACUCUAGACUCGAAUUUCAUUCAUUUCUUCAUCUCCAAGCUUCUACCAUUGCCAAGUAGCUCUAACUAAGUUAAGCGCCCAGAAUUCGUCGUCUCUUUGACAACCUCAAUUCACCAUUUUCCACUUUUCAAUCACCUUUCUUCCUUAUCCCAAAUGUUCACUACUCUCUAGAACUUACUAGAUAAACUACUUUUUUGAAUAAUAAUUUUUCUUGAAUUUCUAGUAGUUUAGUUCAUUUAAUUCAUCUUCAAAAAUGAGGAAAAUUAAGCUAAUUGGGUUUGCCUCUAAAUCCCUAACCCGCAUUUUCAAUUCGCGUGGAUUCAAUUGCAAUUCAUUUGAAGGAAGUCGACUAGCAUUAUUAGCUCAUAGAAGAAGAUUUUGCAGUAAUAGAUAUAUAACUGGGAUUAACGGGAACCCAUUUAGAGAAGCUGUAUAUACAGUUCCAUUGACAAAGCGCUAUUUUCAUGCCACAGGGUCAUUGCGGUUGAGUGAACGGAAUUACUAUGAUAUAUUGGGGGUUCCGAAAGAUGCUGGUCGUGAUGAUAUUAGAAAAGCUUUUCAUGAGAUGGCAAAGAAGUACCAUCCAGAUACAAAUAAGAACAAUCCUUCCGUAAAAAGAAAAUUUCAAGAGAUUAGAGAUGCUUAUGAGACUUUGAGAGACACUGAGAAAAGAGCACAGUAUGAUAUGAGCCUAAAUUUAGGUUCGGGCUAUGCAAGGCAAAAUUCUGGAGGCAGGGGUCCAGAGAAUGUACAUUAUGAUUCUGCUGAUGCCGAGGCGUUUAGACAUGCUUAUAAAACCCACUUCUCAGAUUCAUUCCAUAAAAUAUUUUCUGAGAUAUUUCAAGAUGAAGUGGAAAAUUUUGCGGAUGAUAUUCAGGUUGAGCUCUCACUUUCAUUUUCUGAGGCAGCAAAAGGUUGCACAAAGCAGCUGUCUUUUGAUGCAUAUAUUCCCUGUGAAUCCUGCCAUGGACGUGGCCAUCCUAUUGAUGCGAAGGCUAGAAUUUGUCCUACGUGUGGUGGGAUUGGGAGGGUAACUAUUCCUCCAUUUUCAUCAACCUGCAGCUCUUGUAAGGGGUCAGGAAGAGUUAUUACAGAAAAAUGUGAGAAUUGCUAUGGACAUGGGGUGCUUGAAGGUGUUAAGGAAGUUAACGUUACAAUACCAGCUGGUGUGGAUUCUGGUGACACUAUCAACAUCCCUAAAGGUGGUAACUCCGGGGGACUAGGAGCAACAUCUGGAAAUUUGUACAUAAGAUUAAAGGUUGAAGAUGACCCUAAUUUUAGUAGAAAUGGUUCAGAUCUUCAUGUGGAUGCUACUAUAAGCUUUAUACAGGCUAUGCUUGGUGGUGAAGUUGAGGUGCCAACUCUAGCAGGAAAAAUUUCAUUGGAUAUACCCAAGGGAGUUCAGCCUGGACAGGUUCUGGUGCUUCGAGGGAAAGGACUGCCAAAGCAUGGUUUAUUUGUCAGUCGUGGUGAUCAACAUGUUCGCUUCUGCAUAAACUUUCCUAAGAAGGUAAAUGAACGCCAAAGAGCUAUACUGGAAGAGUUUGAGGAGGAGGAAAUUACUCGUGAAGAACCUUCUUCCGAAGAAAGUUGGUGAGCCAUACAAAAACAUUUUUGCUCUCUGACAUCACUUUGAGGCUUGAGCUGUUAAUCAUUGAUGCUAUUAUGGUGGAAGCAAAUUCUUGAUUAUGGAAAUAGGCCGAAAUUAAUGCUUGAGUUGUCGGUGCUCCUGCUGAUUCUUUUGCUCAUGAAG